UUUAAAUUGAGAGUUUGAUCCUGGCUCAGGAUGAACGCUGGUGGCGUGCCUAAUACAUGCAAGUCGUACGCUAGCCGCUGAAUUGAUCCUUCGGGUGAAGUGAGGCAAUGACUAGAGUGGCGAACUGGUGAGUAACACGUAAGAAACCUGCCCUUUAGUGGGGGAUAACAUUUGGAAACAGAUGCUAAUACCGCGUAACAACAAAUCACACAUGUGAUCUGUUUGAAAGGUCCUUUUGGAUCGCUAGAGGAUGGUCUUGCGGCGUAUUAGCUUGUUGGUAGGGUAGAAGCCUACCAAGGCAAUGAUGCGUAGCCGAGUUGAGAGACUGGCCGGCCACAUUGGGACUGAGACACUGCCCAAACUCCUACGGGAGGCUGCAGUAGGGAAUUUUCCGAAAUGCACGAAAGUGUGACGGAGCGACGCCGCGUGUGUGAUGAAGGCUUUCGGGUCGUAAAGCACUGUUGUAAGGGAAGAAUAACUGAAUUCAGAGAAAGUUUUCAGCUUGACGG
rnacentral:rRNA from 1 species